rnacentral:rRNA from 1 species
AGUGAACGCUGGCGGUAGGCCUAACACAUGCAAGUCGAACGGCAGCACAGUAAGAGCUUGCUCUUACGGGUGGCGAGUGGCGGACGGGUGAGGAAUACAUCGGAAUCUACUUUUUCGUGGGGGAUAACGUAGGGAAACUUACGCUAAUACCGCAUACGACCUACGGGUGAAAGCAGGGGAUCUUCGGACCUUGCGCGAUUGAAUGAGCCGAUGUCGGAUUAGCUAGUUGGCGGGGUAAAGGCCCACCAAGGCGACGAUCCGUAGCUGGUCUGAGAGGAUGAUCCGGCCCCACUGGACCGAGACACGGGUCCAACCUCCUCCGGAGGGCGCCGUUGGGAAGUUUCGGCCAUGGGCCGCAGGCCGACCCCGCCCAUCCGCCUGGGUGAAGGAGGUCCUUCGGUUGUAAAGCCCUUUUGUUGGGAAAGAAAAGCAGCAGGUUAAUACCCCGCUGUUCUGACGGUACCCAAAGAAUAAGCACCGGCUAACUUCGUG